UCACCAUGGGAAUGUGGUGGGAUGACUGGAGUGCUGCAGUGGAGGGCUACAAGCUCCUCAGAAGGGACAGAAUGAAAUCCUCAGAAAAACAGGAGUAUCAGGAAAGUGAUGUCCAGCAAUUUCAAUGAAAGAUGAGUGGCCAGUGGAGAGAUAUCUCAUGUGCCUCUUGGCUACAGAACAAAAGUAAGGAAUGAUCUCUUCUUGUUCCCUACAGAGGCAAGGAAAAGAGAGGACAUUUUCAUUGAAGCAGUGGGAUAGAGGCAAUGACUCGUGUGACCUGCUCAGUUUUUGAAAAUUAAGAACAAAACAAUACUUACUCUACACAGUCCAAUAGCCCACAGACCUCUUCUCUAACCACUCAUUUCUGCUGCUCUGCUGCAUUGGAACACCCACUUGUCAGAGAACAGAAAAUAUGGGAAAGUAGAGAGCAAUGAAGAAGCAAAGGAAAUUAUUUCCUCUGAAUAAACUUACUUUACAUAAGAGAAAUAUGGCAACUUAGGAAAUUAUUUCC